UACAGAGGUCUCAAGCGUUGUUCGGAUUCAUUGGGCGUAAAGGGUGCGUAGGCGGCGCGGUAAGUCGGGUGUGAAAUCUCGGAGCUUAACCCGAUCCGAACGCGAUUCGAUACUGCCGUGCUUGAGGACUGGAGAGGAGACUGGAAUUUACGGUGUAGCGGUGAAAUGCGUAGAUAUCGUAAGGAAGACCAGUGGCGAAGGCGGGUCUCUGGACAGUUCCUGACGCUGAGGCACGAAGGUCAGGGGAGCAAACGGG
rnacentral:rRNA from 1 species